rnacentral:sRNA from 1 species
GUUUAGCCCUGAUUGAAGCGGCAUCCUUUUUUCUGGCAGUUCGAGUGAAUUUGCUUUUUUGCAAAUUUAUAUCGAGAACAGAAGAAAAAAGAUAUAGCAGAAAGCAGGAAAAAGC